rnacentral:rRNA from 1 species
GAUGAACGCUAGCGAUAGGCCUAACACAUGCAAGUCGAGGGGCAUCACGGAGUAGCAAUACUUUGGUGGCGACCGGCGCACGGGUGAGUAACGCGUAUGCAAUCUACCUACAACAGGGGGAUAACCCGGAGAAAUCCGGACUAAUACCGCAUAACACAGGGGUCCCGCAUGGGAAUAUUUGUUAAAGAUUUAUCGGUUGUAGAUGAGCAUGCGUUCCAUUAGGUAGUUGGUGAGGUAACGGCCCACCAAGCCUGCGAUGGAUAGGGGAACUGAGAGGUUGGUCCCCCACACCGGAACUGAGACACGGACCAGACUCCUACGGGAGGCAGCAGUGAGGAAUAUUGGUCAAUGGGCGAGAGCCUGAACCAGCCGAAUCGCGUGAAGGAAGACUGCCUUAUGGGUUGUAAACUUCUUUUGUACAGGAAUAAAAAGAGGGACGUGUCCUUCAUUGCAUGUACUGUACGAAUAAGCAUCGGCUAACUCCGUGCCAGCAGCCGCGGUAA